GGCUCAGGACGAACGCUGGCGGCGUGCUUAACACAUGCAAGUCGAACGAUGAUGCCCAGCUUGCUGGGCGGAUUAGUGGCGAACGGGUGAGUAAUACGUGAGUAACCUGCCCUUGACUCUGGGAUAAGCCUGGGAAACUGGGUCUAAUACUGGAUACUACGUCCCAUCGCAUGGUGGGGGGUGGAAAGGGUUUUACUGGUUUUGGAUGGGCUCACGGCCUAUCAGCUUGUUGGUGGGGUAAUGGCUCACCAAGGCGACGACGGGUAGCCGGCCUGAGAGGGUGACCGGCCACACUGGGACUGAGACACGGCCCAGACUCCUACGGGAGGCAGCAGUGGGGAAUAUUGCACAAUGGGCGGAAGCCUGA
rnacentral:rRNA from 1 species